rnacentral:rRNA from 1 species
GAUGAACGCUGGCGGCGUGCCUAAUACAUGCAAGUCGAGCGGACGGACGAGAAGCUUGCUUCUCUGAUGUUAGCGGCGGACGGGUGAGUAACACGUGAAUAACCUACCUUUAAAACUGGGAUAACUUCGGGAAACCGUAGCUAAUACCGGAUAAUAUUUUGAACCGCAUGGUUCAAAAGCGAAAGACGGUCUUGCUGUCACUUAUAGAUGCAUCCGCGCUGCAUUAGCUAGUUGGUAAGGUAACGGCUUACCAAGGCAACGAUGCAUAGCCGACCUGAGAGGGUGAUCGGCCACACUGGAACUGAGACACGGUCCAGACUCCUACGGGAGGCAGCAGUAGGGAAUCUUCCGCGAUGGGCGAAAGCCUGACGGAGCAACGCCGCGUGAGUGAUGAAGGUCUUCGGAUCGUAAAACUCUGUUAUUAGGGAAGAACAUAUGUGUAAGUAACUGUGCACAUCUUGACGGUACCUAAUCAGAAAGCCACGGCUAACUACGUG